rnacentral:rRNA from 1 species
GACGAACGCUGGCGGCGUGCCUAACACAUGCAAGUCGAGCGAUGAAGCUCCUUCGGGAGUGAAUUAGCGGCGGACGGGUGAGUAACACGUGGGUAACCUGCCUCAUAGAGGGGAAUAGCCUUCCGAAAGGGAGAUUAAUACCGCAUAACAUAGCACUACCGCAUGGUAGAGUUAUCAAAGGAGCAAUCCGCUAUGAGAUGGACCCGCGGCGCAUUAGCUAGUUGGUGAGGUAACGGCUCACCAAGGCGACGAUGCGUAGCCGACCUGAGAGGGUGAUCGGCCACAUUGGAACUGAGACACGGUCCAGACUCCUACGGGAGGCAGCAGUGGGGAAUAUUGCGCAAUGGGGGAAACCCUGACGCAGCAACGCCGCGUGAGUGAAGAAGGCCUUAGGGUUGUAAAGCUCUGUCAUAUGGGAAGAUAAUGACGGUACCAUAAGAGGAAGCCACGGCUAACUACGUGCCAGCAGCCGCGGUAA